AUGCAUGACACAGUAGGCACUCAAUACAUGUUAGCAAUUAUUAUGCAGGGCCACCUCAGGAGCCACUGGGUCCAGGGCCACCUCAGGGGAGACUGGGUCCAGGGCCACCUCAGGAGGGACUGGAUGAUGUUCACCUACAUUGUUCCCUUGGCUGACAACCCAGGGCACAACUCCUGCUUCCGUGAGUGCCUAAUACAAGAGUUGAAGCUCCCGGAGCCUUCUUUGAAAAAUGCCAUGCCUAAUGUUCUACUACAGAUGUUUGCCUUGAGUCAAAUAUGGAGCUUAUGUAAAAUUAUAUGUGGGUUGGUGCUACAUUUUUGAGAUCCUGUAAUUGUCUGAGCACUAGGAUUCACCACCGAGGAGACACUGAUAGACAUGUUGCAAUUAGUAGGAAUAGAAUGAACAAAAAGAGAUCCGGCUUCGAAUCUUGCCUCUGCCAUUUAAAAACUCCAACUUGGACAAAAUACUUGCCUGAGCCUCCAUGUCCUUGUUUUUAAGGUGAGAAAAGGUUUCUGUACCUUUACUACUUAAGGUAGUUACUAUUUAACUAUUGUCAAGGUUAAAAAUAAGUGGCCUGGUGCACAGUGAGCCCUCAGUGACGAGAUGCGUCUGACCAGGCAAUGAGCACUGUUCCUUUCACCUUGCUCUCUCCUUGACCUUCAUCAGGAAAAUUAUGUGAUUUCAGUUCCCUCUCCCCCCUCCUGGAUUUCUCAUUUGGGAAUUGAUGCUCAAAACUGUGAUGUGCUGAUGGAAGGUCCUGGACCAUUUUUCCUGUUCUUCUGUAUAGUGAUAAAUGGAACAUAUUAUUGAAAUAAACUGACUAUUAUUAUAGCA
rnacentral:lncRNA from 12 species